CUCAUAGAGAUCUGCCUGGCUCUGCCUCCCAAGUGCUGGGAUUAAAGGUAUGCACCACCACCGCCGGGCUAAUACUGACAUUUUUACAACCUGGAAAUAUCUUGGGACAGUGGCAAUGAGGAAGAAUUGAGACUGAGUGAGAUUCACUAAUUAAACCAAUGACAAAUCUUUUGUCAUUUAUAGGUUUGAGAUUUUCCCAUUGCAACAGGGGCCCAGACCUUAGCACAUGACUCCAUGAUGGAAGUACCAGUCAUGCCAUAAAACUCAGCACAAAGACAUCACCACCUGCCUUUCUCAGCAUGGGCAACAAAUUAUAUGAACAUCCUUCACAAGAAGCUCCUAGAUGAAAAUAUACUGUUAAAUAAUGUUGGGAAACAAAUCAUCUUCCAUCACAUCCUAGAAAUGUGUAAGUAUCGGCAUCAAAGAAGUGUUAGGCAUACUUAACUUAGUUUAAUUCUAUGUUUCCUAAACUUGUUUCCUGGUGUAAUUCCUCUUUUCAUGUAAUAAAUAUUAGUAUCCCACAGAACACACUUAAAGCAGUGCAGGAUACUCAGAGAUUUUUUUUAAACAUUCUUUAGCUAAUGACUUUCUAGUGUAGAAGAGUUUGUAUGCACUUUCUGUAAUUAGCCUCUCUCAUGUUUUGUAGGCUGUGGCAAUGAGAUAAAUAGUUACCUGCUAAAUUCAUGAUUACAAACUCUGAGAAUAUCUCUGAAAUUCAGAUUCAAUUUAAGUUCAGUAAAAAUUCAAAUUUUGCCUCUUAUAUGUGGUUUGAAUGAAAAUGGCCCCCAUAGACCCAUAGGGGGCGGUGGUAUUAGGAGGUGUGGUCUUGUUGGUGUAGUCAUGGCCUUGUUGGAGGAAGUUUGUCACUGAGGGUUGGCUUUGAGGUUUUGGAAGUCCUAGUCAAGCCCAGAGUUACUCUUCUUCUGAUGCCUGGUGAUCUGCAUGUAGAGCUCCCAGCUACCUCUCCCGCAGUGUGUCUGCCUGCAUGCUGCCAUGCUUCAUGCUGUGGUUACAAUGAACUAAAUAAACCUCUGAACUGAAAGCUAGCCCCAAUUAAAUUCCUUCCUUUAUAUGAGUUGCAGUGGUCACGGUGCUUCGUCAUAGAAAUAGAAACCUUAACUAAGACAUAUACCAAGCUGAGGGUUAUAAUAAAUAAUGUAAAAUAAUUAAAUAAAUAAGUAAAGAUGACUUUUAUCCUUAGCCUUUGAAUUAAUAAGUGGAUCGGUUUGACUACUCUGUGUAAUGUUUUCUUAUUUUUUGGUUGAUUGUUUUCAUGGUUGGAGUUCUGGAUCUUGUCAGAUUACAGAGUGGGAGAGUACGAACUAGCAGAACAGACUGAUAGGGCAGUGCUGGGAGGACACAGAAGCCUUUCCCAGCUGCGCCCUCAGGUAUGAGAACACAGACAUCCGAAGACCCUUGCCUUCAGGCUCCUCUUGGUAGUGCAAAAGAAAGGAUCUGUUUGAAUCCCUGGGGAGCUAAUGAAAUCACCAGUUUCAGCUUCUGUCAGCAGAUCUGGUCAGUGACGGGCCAAAUCUGUGCAAGCCUCUGACUGUCUACUUCUGGGUUCCGUGCUGGAGAAAUUGAUCCUGGAAAGAGCUUCUGGAAAGACAAGCAUGCAGGCUUAGUUGAAGCUCCUGGCUAGCCAUGGGGAGGCUCCAGACGUCUACAAUCCAGCAACAUGGUGAAGAGCCAGUGUCAGUCAGCUUUGCAUCAUGGUGACUACUAAAUACCUGAGAUAAAUGGCUUUAAAGGAAGGGAAGCUUGCCUCACAGUUACUAUGGUCUCAGGCCUUAGUCACCCGGAUCCAUUAAUUUGGGCAACAAGAUCCUUCACCUCUGAAUUGGACAAAAGUGUAGGGCAUGGAGUGCUGGAUGCUGACCUACGAAAGUGCUGAACCACAGAUCAUACUGAAAAUAUGUUGUCUAUGUACGCAGCAUUUGACCUGCUCUCCUCCAGAAAGUGAAAAGUUUCAGUCCAUUGUUACCAAAAAAGUCAAAUUCUUGUGUAGAAAUAAAAAGACAAAAUAAAACUGUCCUUGCAAGAAUCACUUACCUUUUCUGAGCUGUUUGUAUACAAGUAGUUAUAAAAUAGUCCAAAUCUCAAGAUUCCAAAAUACUGGCUCAUAAUAGUCCUUAAUAGGGACAUGACUCAUCUUUAAAAAAUCUUUUAGAUUAAUUUUUAAUUUUUUUGUUUGAUUUCCACACAUGGACAUAUUGUAUCUUGAUAAUAUCCACCCAUACUUCUUCUUGCCCUCUUAACUUCUGCCUACCCCAACAUUUCUCACUUCCAACUUCAUAUCCUUUUUAAAAAGAUCCAUUGAGUCAAAUUCAUGCUGCUCACAGGUACAUGGGUAUGGAAUCAUACACCGAGGCAAGGGAAGUAUACUAGAAUUUAAAAAUUUAAUUUUGGAAUAGGCUUCUAAGUGGUACUAUUCCUCCAACCCCAAAACUGACCAUACCUUGACCAAGAAGAGUCAGACAGAAAAGGCAGCAUUUUUCUAAGCCAAACUUUAAUUACUAACAUUAUAUUUUGCAUUAGAUAGUGCCCAGAGCCUAAGCUGGUCUAGAAAUCUCUAUGUAGCCAAGGAUUUCUUUGAACACCUGAUCUUUUGCCUCUAAUUCCAAAGAGAUGAGUUACAGGCAUGCACUAAUAUGCCUGGUCAAUGUGAUAUGAUCAAGUAUUCUACCAACUGAGCUAGCUACAUUCUCAACUACUAAAAUCUUUAUUAUGAUUUUCAUAUCCCCUAAAUUCUCAACAACCACUUAGAUUCAAAGAGAUGUCAGAUUGUGCUUACCAACCAUGUCCAGGGUUGCUUGUAGUCAUUAUAAUUGUUUUCAUGAAUAUCCACCUCCACACAUUGAGUGUCUUACUAUGUUCAUGAUACUUUUCAUAUAAUUAAAAAUCCUACAGCUCUUUUAAGAUAUUACUUUUUCCUCCUAGUUGAAUAAAAUUAAUUAUAAAGCUAUCUGAUUCUAAGAUACUAGCGAAACAAAAUUAAUAGAUUAUUAAACACAAGCAUUAGUUAAGACAUGUUCCAAUUAGGAAAUACUAACAUGACUAAAUACACCUUACUAUGGAAAUGUGGUAGCUACUUUUUCUUGUGAGAAACUCUAGCACACAAUACUUCCUCUACUUUGGUAUUUAUUACAAGUAUAUCUGUAUUUACAGAUCUGUAUCUAGUCUAAGUAUAAGGGUUAUGAAU